CAUAACUAUUCUCAGUUUACGUUGACAACUUUACAAGAUGGGUGACAUGCUUUAAACCAGGGAACGAUUACGAUCCGGAACAACGAAUUGGAACUCGAAGAUCAAAGAUUCAAAUUUCAAAUCCUGCUACUGUGCAACAAUCUUUGAUGAAGCGUUAACGGACCCUCACAAUCAGAUCUCCAGUCAAUACCUGAAGCAAGGACGAACGCCGCCGUCAAGCCGUUAUCAAUUUUGCAGAUACCAGGAAGAGUAGUGAUCGCUGCUGAUGCAAGUCUACACCCCUAACGUAGCGAGCAAAGAAGAUUCUUUCAAAUUGCUUCCCCGGUGUACCAUGCAGUCAUUUAUGAUUGAUUGCGAGAUU